CCUACGGGUGGCAGCAGUGGGGAAUAUUGGACAAUGGGCGAAAGCCUGAUCCAGCCAUGCCGCGUGUGUGAAGAAGGCCUUCGGGUUGUAAAGCACUUUCAGUGGGGAAGAAAGCCUUGGGGCUAAUACCCUCGAGGAAGGACAUCACCCACAGAAGAAGCACCGGCUAACUCCGUGCCAGCAGCCGCGGUAAUACGGAGGGUGCGAGCGUUAAUCGGAAUUACUGGGCGUAAAGCGCGCGUAGGCGGUCUGAUAAGCCGGUUGUGAAAGCCCCGUGCUCAACCUGGGAACGGCAUCCGGAACUGUCAGGCUAGAGUGCAGGAGAGGAAGGUAGAAUUCCCGGUGUAGCGGUGAAAUGCGUAGAGAUCGGGAGGAAUACCAGUGGCGAAGGCGGCCUUCUGGACUGACACUGACGCUGAGGUGCGAAAGCGUGGGUAGCAAACAGGAUUAGAUACCCGAGUAGUC
rnacentral:rRNA from 1 species